AAGCUUGAAAACCCUAACUAUGGCUUCCCCCUUGCUGAUUUCGUUCACCAUGAAGAAGAUGAGCAUAUUUUGCCAUCUUUUUCCCAUUUAAUUCUAUUUAAUUACCAAAUGACUAAAAUGCCCUUACUUAAAAAAAAUCUAUUUCACUAAUUCUAUGCCCAUUUUUGUCCAUCAACUAACUAAUGGUCUAAUUACCACAUAAAGACCUCCAAUU
rnacentral:lncRNA from 1 species